AAUGUGAUAACGUGUGUGUGUGUGUGUGUGUGUGUGUGUGUGUGUGUGAGAGAGAGAGAGAGAGAGAGAGAGAGAGAGAGAGAGAGAGAGAGAGAGAGAGAGAGAGAGAGAGAGAGAGAGAACGUAUGAAUAACCAAAAUAUGUACUCCAGUAAUGGUAAUAGUAAUAAUAACAACAAAAAUAACACCUAACACAGUAGUUCCCACCUGAGACGAUUGCACUGUUUAGUUAGCUAAUUACAUAAGGCAUUCCACACACUUGUAUCUACCUAAUUAUCGUGUUAGUAAUAAUAUAACUAUGUAACUAUUUAUACCAGAGAGAGAGAGAGAGAGAGAGAGAGAGAGAGAGAGAGAGAGAGAGAGAGAGAGAGAGGAUCGAAUCAUGUAAUAGAUGUAAUCCAGAUAAUUUAGUGAGAGAUCAUAUUUUCGUAACUGCGGACAGACCCUUAUCAUCAACAACAACAACAACAACUAGUUUGGAAGGACAAGGUGUUUAGUACAACACUCAGGCAGCCCGCCGUCCCGUCGCCCCUCACAACACCUUCGCGCCUCCGCCGUGUCGUGGCAGCGUAAAGUUGACAGUUUCGUCGUCAAUUUUUCGCCAUUUACAAUCACUUGUAACGCGUCGGCCUGUUCACAGCCGGCGUUUUGGUUUCUAUUAACACCAGAAUUUUUAUUUUAUUUUAAUCCUUGGGCAGGGGGUGACUUAGCUAUUUUUCAGAGCUAAUUUGUACAGAGAAUUUGACACUGAUUGCCAUGGCAAUGUAAGAUGAUAAUGAAGUCAUGCCCAUAUAACAUGAUUUGUAUAUAGUUGGGCAUUAUGUAUUUUUUUAUGAAAAGAUAAACCCCUCAUUACCUCAAUGAGUAUUCCUCAAGUAAGUAUAAACAGCACAGCAGCGGACCUGCGAUAUAAUCGUCAACUGAGACUUGAAAAACGCCACACAGGCCAGGUGUGACAUCCGGGCUGCCACAGUUACCUUCCCCAGGUUUCCACAGGUACCCGUUUGACGACCAGCCCCAAAGGGAACAUAAACAGCUGGGUUGGCUGCCCGCUGGCCCAAGUCGGGAUUCGAACCCCGCUGUUUCGUAGCAUGUCGUGCUAACCACUACACCGAGGAGGCGCAUUCAUCUGUGGAUGAAAAUCUGCUUGGACGACGUGAUAUAACUUGUAGGAACAACGCAGCUGGUGAUGCUGACGUGUUGUGUGUGUUGUUGUUGUCGUGGUCGUCAGUCGUUGGGGCGGAACACAAUGAAAAGGUUAUUAUAUUUUCAGACAGACGAAAAGAAAAAGUCAAUUUAUAAGAAUCUUUGUUAAGAUAGACGAAAAGACAAAAAGGUAUAUUUAUAAUAUAUUGUUAAGUGACAAGAGUAAAAAAAGUUUAACAGUUUAUAUACAUUAAUGAUGUGUUGAUAGAUGAAAAUAAUAAUUUUAUAAGAAUAUUUAUGUUGAGACAGACCAAGAGAUAGAAAAAGUUUGUUUAAUAGAAUCCAAAAAUGCAUUAACAUAGACCAGUACAAAAGAAAUGUUUAUAAGAAUUAUUUAUGUGAACACAAAAAGAAUAAGGAACAGUAUCAGAGAAAUUAAUAUAACAUCGUCAUUAGAGUGCGUUAAAUUAAAAACUGUCAUCAUGAAGCAAAAUAAUGAAAAAUAUAACAAUAUUAUUAAUAAUAAUGAUCAUUAGAAUAAUGGUAAUAAUAAUAACCACAUAACAAUUACAUGCAUUUUUAUCAAGCGUAAUAUUUUUAAUCUAUGAAAUUAUUAUCCUCGUUAUAAUUACUCUUUUAAUGCCGUCCACUAAGCCAGCACCGUAGUCUAAAUACUGACAUAAUAAUAAUAAUAAUAAUAAUAAUAAUAAUAAUAAUAAUAAUAAUAAUAAUAAUAAUAAUAAUAAUAAUAAUAGAAAAGACACCGAGGGCAUUAUUUCACUUUUUUUUCGUACGUGUGUGUGUGUGUGUGUGUGUGUGUGUGUGUGUGUGUGUGUGUGUGUGUGUGUACCAAGGUCUUAGGUAUACAGGAUGAAGAUUUACAAUGAAAAAACAUUAUUAUGAUUAACGACUAUGAAGAGUAAUGAUAACUGUGAUUUGCCCUCCCUCUCCCUUCCCGUUCCUUCCCCUCCCUUUCCCUCCCUUGCCUUCUUGUCCAUUUUCCUCCCAUCCCCCUUCCUAUUCCAUCCCAUUCCCUUCCUUUCCUACCCUUUUAUUCCCUUCAUUUCCUUUCCCCCCCCAUCCCUUCCCUUUUCAACACUAUUUUUAUUCCCUCCCUUCAUUUCCCUUUGUUUCCCAUCCCAUCCCUUCCUAUUCCAUCCAAUCCCUUCCCCUUCCUACCCUUCCUUUCCCUUUCCUUUACUUCCCAUCCCCUCUCCCCCCUUGCCUCCCCUCCUCCUCCUCAUAAUACCUCCUUACCUGUAAAUUAGAACACCUGUAUACCUGAGUAAGGCCUUUGAGUUUACUACACGCCACCAUAUGUAGUAGUAGUAGUAGCAGUAGUAGUAGUAGUAGUAGUAGUAGUAGUAGUAGUAGUAGUAGUAGUAGUAGUAAAAGUAGUUGUAUUUUAAGAAAGCACUACACUGUAUCUAUAACUUAUAAUGUAGUAAAGAUUUUGUUUUUUCACUAACCAUUGUCUUUAUUAACCCUUUUAGAGUAAGUUUUUUUUCCUCCUGUCAUCUCUAUCUAUCUAUCUACAUGUCUACCUAUCUAUUCAUUUAUGUAUCUAUGUCUGUCUGGCUGUCUCAGAAUAGGUCGUAAUUUAUUUUAAUACCCGCAAGAAACACUUUAUUGUAUAUGAGAAAAAAAAAUCUUAAGAACUAUUUAACAAACCCCAAAGCACCUGACUGUUUUCUUCCGCUGACUGUUUCGUUCAUUGUUUCAUUAGUUCAAUUAGUCCGUCAAUUUCUCCCUUCUGCUUUUCUUUCUCUUCAAUUAGUAUAUGUGUUUUGUAUCGCUGAGAGUUACAUAUCAAGCCAUAUAAAGAAAAUAACAUAGCCUUAUUAUUCAUACUUCUUUAUAGAGACUGUAAAGCGGUUCGUUCUUUGCUUCAUCCAUUCGUUUCACUAUCUCACUCACUCACUCGUUGACUCGCAAUAAUAAUUUCCCUAUCUCAACUUUCUUUAUAUUAACUAACUGUAUCGUUUCUUACUAUAGGCGCAAACUAGACUGACUCACCCACAACAACUAGUAAUUCUCAAGUAUUUAGCGAAGUUCACGUGAAAAAAGGUAAGUAAAAAGUAAAAGACAAAAACAGUUGCGGGAUCUGGCAACUGUUUACGUAGAGGACGACGAGAGAUGCCGACACUCAAUAGCCGCCGAGACUUCAUGGAGGAAGGACGUUCUGCUCCUGCGUCUCGUUUGGCCGUAUCUCCCUUUUCUUCAGUGUGUUCUGGGGCUGGUUAGGCCAUACUUUGUGCUUCCCUUCGUCCGUGUCCAGUUGUGAUGGGAACCCCGCUGCUCCAUUGAGAGACCAAGUGAGGUGAGUGGCUGACUGGUGCAGUGACUGGCCUGGCAUCAGGGACUGCCUUUGCAUCUGGAGUGGACGUGGAGUUCCGUAGUUGCUCAGCGUUGAGAAUCUCCUCGUCAUCUGCGCUGCACAUUGGAAGCCAGCUUGAUCUCCGGAGCCUCUUGGAAGUAUCUAGGCAGGUGGUGGCUGAACGGACAGCGAGACGGCCCCGCGUUCAGGAGGACGCGAGUUCAAUCCCCGACCGGUGCCACCAAGCUGGGAUUUUUCAGCCGCCGCCGAGUGGCUUAAGACCACCUAACAUCCCGGACCCUAGAAUUAAAGAUGAGCUCCGGGAGGGCAAGAUGGCGCCACUAUAAACACUCACCUGCGCCGACCAUCAGGCCCCACCGGGAAGAAGCCUACCGGCACAAUAGGCAAAGACUUAAAGAAAAAAAAAAAUUGUAGAGAAUACCUGCCAGAAAGUUUCGGUAUUCUUUUCUUGUGCAAAACUUAAUAAAAGUCCUGGAUUUGCAUUCCAUUUUUUGAGUUUUGUU